rnacentral:rRNA from 1 species
AUUGAACGCUGGCGGCAUGCUUUACACAUGCAAGUCGGACGGCAGCACAGAGAAGCUUGCUUCUUGGGUGGCGAGUGGCGAACGGGUGAGUAACAUAUCGGAACGUACCGAGCAGUGGGGGAUAACUAAUCGAAAGAUUAGCUAAUACCGCAUAUUUUCUGAGGAAGAAAGCAGGGGACCAUUUGGCCUUGCGCUGUUUGAGCGGCCGAUAUCUGAUUAGCUAGUUGGUGGGGUAAAGGCCUACCAAGGCGACGAUCAGUAGCGGGUCUGAGAGGAUGAUCCGCCACACUGGGACUGAGACACGGCCCAGACUCCUACGGGAGGCAGCAGUGGGGAAUUUUGGACAAUGGGCGCAAGCCUGAUCCAGCCAUGCCGCGUGUCUGAAGAAGGCCUUCGGGUUGUAAAGGACUUUUGUCAGGGAAGAAAAGGGCGGGGUUAAUACCCCUGUCUGA